rnacentral:rRNA from 1 species
AUACGUAGGGUGCAAGCGUUAAUCGGAAUUACUGGGCGUAAAGCGUGCGCAGGCGGUUUUGUAAGACAGAGGUGAAAUCCCCGGGCUCAACCUGGGAACUGCCUUUGUGACUGCAAGGCUAGAGUACGGCAGAGGGGGAUGGAAUUCCGCGUGUAGCAGUGAAAUGCGUAGAUAUGCAGAGGAACACCGAUGGCGAAGGCAAUCCCCUGGGCCUGUACUGAUGCUCAUGCCCGAAAGCGUGGGGAGCAAACAGGAUUAGAUACCCUGGUAGUCCACGCCCUAAACGAUUUCAACUGGUUGUUGGGUCUUCAUUGACUCAGUAACGAAGCUAACGCGUGAAGUUGACCGCCUGGGGAGUACGGCCGCGAGGUUGAAACUUAAAGGAAUUGACGGGG